AGCGGCGAACGGGUGAGUAACACGUAGGUGAUCUGCCCAUCAGACGGGGACAACGAUUGGAAACGAUCGCUAAUACCGGAUAGGACGAAAGUUUAAAGGUGCUUCUGGCACCGCUGAUGGAUGAGCCUGCGGCGCAUUAGCUAGUUGGUAGGGUAAAGGCCUACCAAGGCGACGAUGCGUAGCCGACCUGAGAGGGUGAACGGCCACACUGGGACUGAGACACGGCCCAGACUCCUACGGGAGGCAGCAGUAGGGAAUCUUCGGCAAUGGGCGAAAGCCUGACCGAGCAACGCCGCGUGAAUGAUGAAGGCCUUCGGGUUGUAAAAUUCUGUUAUAAGGGAAGAACGACUUUAGUAGGAAAUGGCUAGAGUGUGACGGUACCUUAUGAGAAAGCCACGGCUAACUACGUGCCAGCAGCCGCGGUAAUACGUAGGUGGCGAGCGUUAUCCGGAAUUAUUGGGCGUAAAGAGCGCGCAGGUGGUUGAUUAAGUCUGAUGUGAAAGCCCACGGCUUAACCGUGGAGGGUCAUUGGAGACUGGUCGACUUGAGUGCAGAAGAGGGAAGUGGAAUUCCAUGUGUAGCGGUGAAAUGCGUAGAGAUAUGGAGGAACACCAGUGGCGAAGGCGGCUUCCUGGUCUGUAACUGACACUGAGGCGCGAAAGCGUGGGGAGCAAACAGGAUUAGAUACCCUGGUGGUCCACGCCGUAAACGAUGAGUGCUAAGUGU
rnacentral:rRNA from 1 species